rnacentral:rRNA from 1 species
AGGAUGAACGCUGGCGGCGUGCUUAACACAUGCAAGUCACGGGGGUUUGAGGCGCAAGCCUUGAGCAACCGGCGAACGGGUGCGUAACACGUGAGCAACCUACCGAAAUGAGGGGGAUAGCCGGCCCAACGGCCGGGUAAUACCGCAUAAGCUCAGGACCAGGCAUUUGGAUCUGAGGAAACCUCCGGGGCGUUUCGAGGGGCUCGCGGCCUAUCAGCUAGUUGGCGAGGUAAUGGCUCACCAAGGCGACGACGGGUAGC